AUGGGUGGGAGUGACUGCUGACCCUAAUCGAUGUAACAAAAAAGAUUGACCCCUAGCUUCAUGCAGAUUUUCAAAUUCUAUAAUCUCCUGUAAUGGUUACAAAUAGAUGGAUAAGACAUCUACAAUCAUUCAAAUCCUGUUGAAUUAGACAGACAGUACGAAGCAUGUCAAGCCUGAUAUGGCAGUAGUGCUCCUGCACUCCUGCCCUCUUACAGC
rnacentral:lncRNA from 1 species